UAUAUAUUUCCUCCGUCCGGAAAUACUUGUCAUCAAAAUGGAUGAAAAUAUAUGUAUCUACAACUAAAAUACAUCUAGAUAGAUCCAUUUCAAUGACAAGUAUUUUCGGACGAAGGGAGUAUACU
rfam:Triticum aestivum genome assembly, contig: Triticum_aestivum_CS42_TGACv1_scaffold_327914_4BS